UGGGGAAUCUUGCCCAAUGGGCGCAAGCCUGAGGCAGCGACGCCGCGUGAGGGAAGAAGGCCUUCGGGUUGUAAACCUCUUUUAAGAGAGAAGAAGCCACUCGGGUUAAUAGCCCAGAGGGUGACGGUAUCUCUUGAAUAAGCCCCGGCUAACUACGUGCCAGCAGCCGCGGUAAUACGUAGGGGGCAAGCGUUGUCCGGAUUUACUGGGCGUAAAGAGCGUGUAGGCGGCCAGGCAGGUCUGUUGUGAAAACUGGAGGCUCAACCUCCAGACGUCGACAGAAACCGUCUGGCUAGAGUCCGGAAGAGGAGAGUGGAAUUCCUGGUGUAGCGGUGAAAUGCGCAGAUAUCAGGAAGAACACCAAUGGCGAAGGCAGCUCUCUGGGACGGUACUGACGCUGAGACGCGAAAGCGUGGGGAGCGAACAGG
rnacentral:rRNA from 1 species